rnacentral:rRNA from 1 species
GAUGAACGCUGGCGGCGUGCCUAAUACAUGCAAGUCGAGCGAACGGACGAGAAGCUUGCUUCUCUGAUGUUAGCGGCGGACGGGUGAGUAACACGUGGAUAACCUACCUAUAAGACUGGGAUAACUUCGGGAAACCGGAGCUAAUACCGGAUAAUAUUUUGAACCGCAUGGUUCAAAAGUGAAAGACGGUCUUGCUGUCACUUAUAGAUGGAUCCGCGCUGCAUUAGCUAGUUGGUAAGGUAACGGCUUACCAAGGCAACGAUGCAUAGCCGACCUGAGAGGGUGAUCGGCCACACUGGAACUGAGACACGGUCCAGACUCCUACGGGAAGCAGCAGUAGGGAAUCUUCCGCAAUGGGCGAAAGCCUGACGGAGCAACGCCGCGUGAGUGAUGAAGGUCUUCGGAUCGUAAAACUCUGUUAUUAGGGAAGAACAUAUGUGUGAGUAACUGUGCACAUCUUGACGGUACCUAAUCAGAAAGCCACGGCUAACUACGUG